rnacentral:lncRNA from 1 species
ACGGAGCUCCAGCCAGGGCCGCGGUUCGCCUGCACGUCACGGCUACUCAAACCCAAGCACGUCCCGAAAGCGGUAUUUUCUGCGUCUGGGAGGUUUUUGCAUCCUCAGUUCCCACCGCUGGGGCUGGCGGCGACCAACUGUAAGAGAAACUCACUGGGAGGCGAGGCAGGGGGGUGCGGAGGAUGGGAAGGCGACUCUGAAGGGUGGGAAGUGAAUGCUGGACUUGAUCGUCUUUCUCUUUCUUUCAGCGCAGACCUGUCGCAGCCAGAGAGCUGUCAUUUCAGUACCGGGAUUCAGAAUUGAUCCAGUCCGCAGCGGAGGGGGCACAUCCCAGCUACCGAGCUGCUGAGUGUCUCUGGCUGGAACAAUAGUAUUUUUUUCUCUGCGAGGCUGCAAUUAACAUCUUAUUUGUUCUGGCUCCAUACAGGCUUUGUCAGGAUCGCGGUGCGGCGACCGACGUUGGGCUCUUGCAUUGCUUUGUGCUUGGCAAUGGAAUCAUGGUUUCGGGGUCUAAACUUUUGUUUCGUUUUGUAGUCUUAAUGUAUCUGAUUCUUUUUCAAGUUUCCCUAGUAACAGGUUUGGGGACGGGGUGGGAAGAAGCGAGAAAAGGGGUGAAGAGAAAAAACCAGAUUAUAUAGAAAGGAAAAAGGGAAAAGGGAUGUUUCCCCACCUUUUAAUCUAACUAUCUAUCUGUCUGUCUAUCUAUCAUCAUAGAUAGUCAUUUUGCCUCCUGGACAGUUGGCUGACGAAGUGUCUGAUAAACCAGCUUCAGAUACAUGCUACAAAAGGCUACUGAGCUGGCCUGAUGAUGAUCCUUCUGAGAUAUAUUUAUAGCAGAUGAUUUGUGGAUGAUAACUACGCCAAGCAAGACACUGUCUCCAGUAACCCCAGGCUCGUCUGACUUCCUCAGGGGAUUAUAAUAAAGAAUCACAAAAAGAACCCUAUAUGGACAGUCUGGUCUCUGGACACUAACAACAGCACAAUCCAAAGGCAAAGAAAGGAGGAACCACCUUGUUUCAUGUCUGCAAGCUGCUCCAUAUGAAAGCAUUGCUGACAUGUUGACCCAACAGCAAAAAGAGAGCAGCAGUUUACACACCCUCAGCUCUCUGUCCUUUCCUUUCUAUUGAUGUUGGUCCACUUUUAUGACUGAAUACAUAUUAAAAUCACCAUUUCAAAUUAUAAUUAUCUGCUUUCAUUGGUCUCUUUCACAAGUCUAUGUCUAUAUUUAUGUUUACAUAUAUAAACACAUAUACACAUAUUUUAUACAUACAUAUGUAU